CCUCUCUCCCGUCUCCUCUAUCAGCGCGUUGGGCGACUUUUUGCUAUUUACUGUCUUCGCCAUUCUCCUUUCCUUUGUCAGUGCAUACUUUUUUUUUCUUUACUUCCAUGAGCGUGAUGACAUGUUUUAAUCCAUUCUUUGAAAACUACUGGAGUAACAAUUGCGAUUUCGUGAAGUCUUAUUACCCUCUGCACUUGUGGCAAAAAGUUUUUUUUUGCGCAUAUCGUAGGCAUCUAGACUUGACCUUUCGCUUUUUGUUGCUUACUGAAGGUGGAAUCUUAGAAGUGUUUGUGCUUCUUUAAUUUUCACUCUUCGGUGUUUUGGGACUGAAUUAACUGCUUUUUCUAUUGUUGCCUGCGCUUCUGGGGCUCAAGGUUUUUAGUUAUGUAUAAUCAUAAAAAUUAGUCUUUCUCGUGAUGACAGCAAAGAUAGGGACAACUGACGGGCAUUAUGCUGAGUUAUAUCUUAUUAACAUGGAGACAUGUUAUGUGACUGAAGUUUAGAUUGUCACUAGCUUAAAACGAUUAUUAUUAUUUUUUAGUUAACUACUUUCUUUAGCAGUUGUCGAUAUGCCAUUGAGAUUUAGUUUUAUGCCUGUAUGGGAAGUGCUAUCCUUUGCGUACCAGUCUUUUGGUUUACGAUUCCAGGUUUUUCUCUAAACUUCUGGGUGGAAGUUUUAGGACCGCAAACUUAAAGUAGUUAAGUCUGUGGUCGAAGUAUAAGGCGGGCUACUUCAAUACUGUAGAGUAGCAUCGGCGUAAAAAUGGGAUACUUUGAAAGACUUGCUUUAUAAAUUUUUUGAGAUUUUCAAAAUAAAAUUAUUAAUUUUAA